GACGAACGCUGGCGGCGUGCUUAAUACAUGCAAGUCGAACGGACAGGCCCUGCUUUUGCGGGGUGCACGUGUGGCGAACGGGUGAGUAACACGUGAGUAACCUGCCCUUGACUUUGGGAUAACUCCAGGAAACUGGGGCUAUUACCGCAGAGGAGCUCUUGCUGCAUGUGGGUGGUUGGUAAGUUUCGGCGGUUGGGGAUCGACUCGCGGGUUAUCAGCUUGAUGGUGUGGUAGUGGCUUACCAAGGCUUUGACGGGUAGCCGGCCUGAGAGGGUGACCGGCCACAUUGGGACUGAGAGACGGACCAGAAUCCUACGGGAGGCAGCAGUGGGGAGUAUUGCACAAUGGGCGGAAGCCUGAUGCAGAAACGCCGCGAGCGGGAUGACGGCCUUCGGGUUGUAAACCGCUGUCGCAUGUGACGAAGCGUGAGUGACGGUAAUGGGUAAAGAAGCAACGGCUAACUACGUG
rnacentral:rRNA from 1 species